rnacentral:tRNA from 1 species
GCCGUGCUGACGGUCGCCGGGCACGACCAUCCCGUCGCCGCGAUCGGCGCCGGCGCCACGGGCGCCGACGAGCUGUUCAACUCCACCGGCACGGCG